rnacentral:rRNA from 1 species
AUUGAACGCUGGCGGCAUGCCUAACACAUGCAAGUCGAACGGCAGCACGGGAGCUUGCUCCUGGUGGCGAGUGGCGGACGGGUGAGUAAUGCAUAGGAAUCUGCCCAGUAGUGGGGGACAACUUGGGGAAACUCAAGCUAAUACCGCAUGCGCCCUACGGGGGAAAGCGGGGGACCUUCGGGCCUCGCACUAUUGGAUGAGCCUAUGUCAGAUUAGCUUGUUGGUGGGGUAACGGCCUACCAAGGCGACGAUCUGUAGCUGGUCUGAGAGGACGAUCAGUCACACUGGGACUGAGACACGGCCCAGACUCCUACGGGAGGCAGCAGUGGGGAAUAUUGCACAAUGGGCGAAAGCCUGAUGCAGCAAUGCCGCGUGUGUGAAGAAGGCCUGCGGGUUGUAAAGCACUUUCAGUAGGGAGGAAACAGUAGCCGGUUAAUAUCCGGUUGCCUUGACGUUACCUACAGAAGAAGCACCGGCUAACUCUGUG